GCACUACCUGGCACAACUAGUGUCAAAUCUGGGAGCUAGAAGUACAACAUUCUCAGGCAGAUAAUACAUCUGCUCCUGAUACCACAUUUCAGUAGUACUAAUUAUAUAUACUAUACAGCAGUGCAGCUGUGUAGUCAUACUGUCCUGUUACUAAAAUUCCUUUUUUCUCCCUUCUAAUUCUAUGAAAGAACCACAAAAACACACAUUAAUUAUCCAAGAAGCCUGAAGAUAAGUCAUGAACAAUCAAAGGCAGUUCUUGGCUAGGAGAUGUUUGUUGACACACAAACAUGCAAAGAACAGAAAGAAGAGAGUGAAAAGAAGAAAAUCAUCUCUUUAGCCAGCUAGGACAGCACUGUUGGUUUGCUCAUCCCUACAGUUUUUUAUUCCCAGGAAUGAAUUCCUGGGAAGGUUGGAGCGUAGCAAAGAGACGCCUGGUGAAUAGCUUUGGGAAUAAUAUUGGCCAGCAUCUCAAGAAACAGCAGCAAGUACCAAACUGUUCAGGCAAGAAGAGUCAGACAAGAGCCCAUACCAAUAAUACUCCUGAGAGACCUUGAACCUUCACCUGACUUAUUUCUCAGUACUCUCUGCUGUAAAAUGGGCAUAAUUAUACUAAUCUGCUUUGCAAAACUGCAAUGUUUUCAUUAGCUAAUAAGCCUCAAGUGUUUGGAGGUAACUCUUGGCUCACAUAAAAGGAGAGAACGUAUAUAAAAAGAGAGAGAACACAAAGGCAAUAAAGAUCUCAGACGAUCUGUUCAGAAUGAGAAGUUGCUCUCAAAUUAAAUGGGUGAGGCUUGUUUACAAAGAUAUUGGUGGUAUGAAAGAUUGACACCCAGUCUUGUCUUUGUGCCUUGCAGGAGCUCAUGCGGGGAGCUCCAGGAUUCGGGAACAAGCCAGCAGGUGGCUGUAGAUGCCAGCAGCUGCCCUGACAUGGGAGACGUUCACCCUGCCAGAGGAUACCCGGAGCAGGCUUACUGAAGUGGUUAACACCAGAUGUGAUUUAAGUGUCAUUGUUGACUCAUAUCCUGCACCCAGUGAGCAGGCUGGGGGUACACAAGGAGUUGGGAGGGGACACAACUGGCACAGCUGACCGCAACUGACCCAAGGGGUAUGCCAUACCAUGUAGCAUAUAGAGCUGGGGAGAGAAGAAGGAAGGGGAGGAUGUUCGGAGUGAUCACAUUUGUCUUCCCAAGUAAGCAUUACACAUGAUGGAGCACAGCUGGCCUGGAGAUGGCUGAACACUUUACUCCUGAUGGCAAGUAGAGAAUGAAUUCCUUGUGUUGCUUUGCUUGUGUGCAGGCCUUUUGCUUUACCUAUUGAACUGCCUUUAUCUCAG